GAGUUUGAUCGUGGCUCAGAUUGAACGCUGGCGGCAGGCCUAACACAUGCAAGUCGAGCGGAUGAAGGGAGCUUGCUCCUGGAUUCAGCGGCGGACGGGUGAGUAAUGCCUAGGAAUCUGCCUGGUAGUGGGGGAUAACGUCCGGAAACGGGCGCUAAUACCGCAUACGUCCUGAGGGAGAAAGUGGGGGAUCUUCGGACCUCACGCUAUCAGACGAGCCUAGGUCGGAUUAGCUAGUUGGUGGGGUAAAGGCCUACCAAGGCGACGAUCCGUAACUGGUCUGAGAGGAUGAUCAGUCACACUGGAACUGAGACACGGUCCAGACUCCUACGGGAGGCAGCAGUGGGGAAUAUUGGACAAUGGGCGAAAGCCUGAUCCAGCCAUGCCGCGUGUGUGAAGAAGGUCUUCGGAUUGUAAGCACUUUAAGUUGGGAGGAAGGGCAGUAAGUUAAUACCUUGCUGUUUUGUACGUUACCAACAGAAUAAGCACCGGCUAACUUCGUGCCAGCCGCCGCAGUAACACC
rnacentral:rRNA from 1 species